rnacentral:rRNA from 1 species
UACGUAGGGGGCUAGCGUUGUCCGGAAUCAUUGGGCGUAAAGAGCGCGUAGGCGGCCAGAUAAGUCCGGUGUGAAAGUCACAGGCUCAACCUGUGAAUGCCGCUGGAAACUGUCUGGCUAGAGUCCGGGAGGGGCGAGUGGAAUUCCUGGUGUAGCGGUGAAAUUCGUAGAUAUUAGGAAGAACACCAGUGGCGAAGGCGGCUCACUGGUCCGGUACUGACGCUGAGGUGCGAAAGCGUGGGGAG